rnacentral:rRNA from 1 species
AGCAGCCGCCACGGUAAUACGAAGGGUGCAAGCGUUAAUCGGAAUUACUGGGCGUAAAGCGUGCGCAGGCGGUUCGUUAAGACAGAUGUGAAAUCCCCGGGCUUAACCUGGGAACUGCAUUUGUGACUGGCGAGCUAGAGUAUGGCAGAGGGGGGUAGAAUUCCACGUGUAGCAGUGAAAUGCGUAGAGAUGUGGAGGAAUACCGAUGGCGAAGGCAGCCCCCUGGGCCAAUACUGACGCUCAUGCACGAAAGCGUGGGGAGCAAACAGGAUUAGAUACCCCGGUAGUCCCUGUCUCUUAUCA